UAACGUGAAGAACCUUACCAAGGCUUGACAUACACGAGAACGGGCCGGAAAUGGUCAACUCUUUGGACACUCGUGAACAGGUGGUGCAUGGUUGUCGUCAGCUCGUGUCGUGAGAUGUUGGGUUAAGUCCCGCAACGAGCGCAACCCUUAUUGUCAGUUGCCCAGCAUUUUAGUUGGCCAUUCUGGCGAGACUGCCGGUGACAAACCGGAGGAAGGUGGGGAUGACGUCAAAUCAUCAUGCCCCUUAUGACCUGGGCUACACACGUGCUACAAUGGACGGUACAACGAGUCGCGAAACCGCGAGGUCAAGCUAAUCUCUUAAAGCCGUUCUCAGUUCGGAUUGUAGGCUGCAACUCGCCUACAUGAAGUUGGAAUCGCUAGUAAUCGUGGAUCAGC
rnacentral:rRNA from 1 species